rnacentral:rRNA from 1 species
GACUCUCGGCAAUGGAUAUCUCAGGUCUCGCAUCGAUGAAGAACGUAGAAAAAUGCGAUACUUGGUGUGAAUUGCAGAAUCCCGUGAACCAUCGAGUCUUUGAACGCAAGUUGCACCCCAAGCCUUCUGGCCGAGGGCAUGUCUGCUUGGGUGUCC